CCGCUUUUAGCUCAGUGGUCGAGCGUUGGCAUAGGAAGCCACAGGUCGGUGGUUCGAACCCACCAGGGCACA
rfam:Phytophthora infestans T30-4 supercont1.24 genomic scaffold, whole genome shotgun sequence.